rnacentral:lncRNA from 1 species
GCCUCUGCUGCUGCUGCUGCUGUUGUUAUUGUGGUCCAAAUAUAAAAUAUCCACAACAGGCACGGUUCGUGUCGGACACAAAUCCAGCCUCUGCUGGUUCUGGGCCAGCUGGGGUCUUUCAUACUUGUCAAAAGUCACAAGACCGACCUUAGGCUUGCGGAGGUUAACGUGGAUGUGACGUCCAUCUGGGCUCAGGCGAACACUUGACGGACUGUUUUUAUGCUCGUUGUUGGUCAGUUUGAAGAUCUCAGUCAGCUCUUUACCGCCUGUAUAGUCCCCAAAGUCCGACAGUUGCUCCAACACCAGCCGCGCCAUAACUCGGAAUAGCUUUGAAUAAGCCUGCUAGCUUGUGUGGCACAUAAAUCUGACCUCAGGCUCCGGAGAGGCUAACGUUAACCGAGGGGCAUCCCGUUAGGUCCCAAGAGAGGCUUCAUCCCGUCCGUGCGGAAGGACACGUCCUUCUGACAGCCUUCAGACCCGUUAACUCCAUGUCGGUGGACGACGGCGGAGCUAAACUGUUAGCCGACAACGACAGCUCGGAAAGUUUUUACGACCGAGCCGAGGAAGGCACUUUAGACAUUCCGAUGCUAUGAAGGCUAGCACUGCCCUGACAUCACGGGAUUGUUAAUUUCCGGAUACCGAGGGUGUUUUGCAUAAAGAGGCGGAGCUGGACGACGACACGCCGGCUGACAAAGAUCGUGUGGAAGCAGAGAAGAAGAGCAACUUCGGCCGCACGUUGGUCUUCAGUCAGCAGUACAGAGAAGCCGUUCCUGGUGUUGUUGGAGGAGGAUCGAAAGGAGGAUCGAAAUGGAACCGAGCAAUGGAACUGAGCUCAGUGUCUUGGAGACUUACCUGGGUUGCAAAAGGGAUAACGUGAAGUGCAAACUGAUGCCAAACCGGUGUCGGAAAUGGAUACAAGGUAAAUAUUUCAUCUCCUUCGGCUCUGCCAUUUUAGCUUGUCUUCUGUGGAAAUAUAUCAGAAAGUCAGCCCCCCUCC